rnacentral:rRNA from 1 species
GACGGAGGGUGCAAGCGUUAUUCGGAUUCACUGGGCGUAAAGCGCGCGUAGGCGGCCUGGUAAGUCUGAUGUGGAAGCCCCCGACUCAAUCGGGGAAGUGCAUUGGAUACUGCUAGUGCUGGAGUGCAGGAGAGGAGAACGGAAUUCCAGGUGUAGAGGUGAAAUUCGUAGAUAUCUGGAGGAACAACAGAAGCGAAGGCGGUUCUCUGGACUGUUACUGACGCUGAGGCGCGAAAGUGUGGGGAGCAAACAGG